GACCCCCUAGCUCAGUGGUAGAGUAUGAGAUUCCAGUUAUGUAUGAGCUGUUGUGAACGAUUGUUCUCAUGAGGUUCUCUGGUAAUUCCUCAGGGUCAUCCGUUCAAUCCGGGUGGGGGUCA